ensembl:lincRNA
GCCANNNNNNNNNNNNNNNNNNNNUGGUACUACAGGAGCGCACCACCACACCUGGCUUAUUUUCUUGUAUUUUUAAUAGAGACAGGGUUUUGCCAUGUCGGCCAGGCUGGUCUCAAACUCCUGACCUCAGGUGAUCCACUCUCCUCGGCCUCCCGAAGUGCUGGGAUUAUAGGUGUGAGCCACCGUGCCCAACCACAUGAUUUCAUUUUUGUUGGCAACAUCCAAAGCAUCAUAAUCAGCAGCCAGUUGAACAUAUGCCUUCUUCUCUCCAUCAGGCCUAUUCAGGGUGUUGACCACUGCCACGUCGAUGUCAUAGAGCUUCUUCACAGCCUGUUUGAUCUGGUGCUUGUUGGCUUUAACAUCCACAAUGAACACAGUGUGUUGUUGUCGUCUGUCUUCUUCGUGGCCAACUCAGUGGUCAGCGGAAACUUGAUGAUAACACAGUGGCCAAGCUUGUUUCUCCCAGGGAUGCUCUUCUGGGAAUAUCUGGGCCGCCUCCAGAGUCGCAGUGUCUUGGGCCGCUGGAAGGUUUCUCUUGGCAACAUACCUUGCCUGGAUGCCUUUCCAGGACAGCCUGUGUGGCCUGACCUCCCUCCUUCAAACGCCUGCACACCAUUCCACAGCACUGGUGUCCCAUUAUUGUCUGUUCUCUAUUGAUAAAGAUAGCAGGUGCCUUUGGGGUCCCUGUCUCCUCCCCUUGGUGGGACUUUGAUUCCAGCUGCAUCUACAGAAAAAGAGUCCCAACUCAGCUUGGCGCCUUGCAUCUUUGUUUUCUGCCCCAGGACCUUCUCUGAUACCCAGGAGCCCUCUGGACCCUUGUACAAACACAGCCAGAAAGGGCUGCAAAGUUAACAUCUCUGGAGGAAGUCAGUUAUCCACAAACUAUCUGAUCUUUCAGGGAGAUGGUUCUAGCAGGCAUGUGGGACACUCUGCUUUCAGAAGCUAAGACAAAGACAAGUCUCUAGGGGGCUAAGACAAGGAAAAUUCAUGUGGUCUCCAAUUUUUCCCUAUCACAACAAGGUUAUAACUAGUACCACUUAUCUCUCUAUAUUUGAGCUACUAUUUAUUUAUUUUUGAGUUGGGAGUCUUGCUGUGUCACCCAGGCUGGAGUGCAGUGGCAUGAUCCGGUUCAAGUGAUCCUCCUGUCUCAGCCUCCUCAGCAGCUGGGACUACAGGCACGCACCACCAGGCUCAGCUAAUUUUUGUACUUUUUGAAGUAGAGUUGGGGUUUUACCACGUUGGCCAGGCUUGUCUCGAACUCCUGACCUCAAGUGAUCCGCCCGCCUCAGCCUCCCAAAGUGCUGGGAUUACUGGUGUAAGCCAUUGUGCCUGGCCUGAGCUACUAUUUUUUUCUGUAAAUUUCUACAGGUAAAGUUUCAGAGCCAAAAGGAUAGACUUCUAUAUAUUGGUAGCUGUUGCUAAACUUGUCCUCUAGAAAUGCUGUCAUUCCCAUGUACAGUGAUGGAGCGUGUUUCCUUCUACCUGGGAGCCUGGGUGCUAUGAGAAGUGUGUCUAUGCAGUGAGUGGGCAACAGCUCAGAGUGAGGAUUCAGAUUAGGUUAGGAGGGGUCUGGUAGGGGCAGUGAUGGUAGCAACGGAAGGUGAAUUACACACUGAGGAGGUUGGCCCGAAGAGGAAAUAUGGCGAAAAUAACAGAAGACGAGUUUCUUCCUCUCAGGGAGGUGUCGUAGGGAUGAAUGCUGUGGUGUCAAAUUGGAAUUACAGGUACUGAUGUCAGUGCAUGCUUUUCAACAUUUAUAGAUAGAUAUAAAAAUAAGUAUCAGGCUGGGUGCAGUGGCUCACGCCUGUAAUCCCAGCAUUUUGGGAGGCCAAGGCGGGCAGAUAGCCUGAGGUCAGGAGUUUGAGACCAGCCUGGCCAACAUGCUGAAACCCUGUCUCUACUAAAAAUACAAAAAUUAGCCGGGCGUCGGCUGCCCCGUCUGGGAAGUGAGGAGCACCUCUGCCUGGCUGCUGUGCAAUCUUCCAAGUGUGAAGUGACAGCCUUUCUGCAGGUGUACCCAACAGCUCCGAAGAGACAGCGACCAUCGAGAACGGGCCAUGAUGACGAUGGCGGUUUUGUCGAAAAGAAAAGGGGG